rnacentral:lncRNA from 1 species
AACCACAUAUCUAUGCAGCUUAUGAGUCGGGCGCAGUCCUUGUUUUCGUGCCGAUACCUUUUUCUGUUUUGGUGCUGCGUCACCCUAUUUUGGACCAAUGGCCCAUGUAUCAAGUUGAGUCCAUUAGGGACGCGUCCUAGGGUUGGAGGACGACUCUAGCACCCCUUUGGUCGUCCUCCCCUCUAUUUAUUUACAUCUAGAGCCGCCAUGAACAACUGGGUUUUGAUUAGAUAAAGUUUAGCCUUCGCUACUUGCUUGUAAACGCGCGUGCUGAUCCAGCCGCCCGUCUUCUUGUUUUCGAAACCCCACUUCAUUAGAAAUUGAGUUUGAAACCUUCAUUUACAUCUAGUAUUUUAGUACUUGUUCUACUUGUUCUUGCUGGUUCUUCGAUUGCUUGCAGGACGAGUGCCCUAGUGGCCGGGUGUUGCGCUCCACAAGAUCGUGACAGCCAUUGGAGGCGGUGUAUCGGUUGCUAAGGCGCGGCCUUAGAAGGCUGUAGUCGGGCCGUGAACGUCAUCUCCAUUCACUAAUCGAGUUAUCCAGCGCCUCUCAUCGAAAGAUCAGGCGAAAACCCUAGUGGGUUCACAUCAGUUGGUAAUCAGAGCAAGGUUUAUCGGUGAGAGAUUUCCAAUUCUUCGUGUUUGUUUUUCCUAUAGUCCAAAAAAAGCCAAAAAAUAUAGCAAAUUUGUUUUCCAUAAUCCUAUAAAUCCUUUGUGCCAUGGCUAGUACUACAUAGUUAGGGCUGGUUGAAUGAGUGUUUGCUUCGGUCGUGUCCAGUGCUGGUUUUAGUUUAGUCCUUUAGAGUUUUGAGUUCUUGUCACCAUCUAGUCACAACAGCGUCCAAUCUAUUGUGGGUUGGAAUUUGAGUAGAUCUUGAUAAUAGGUGCCGCCACUUGUUGGUCUAUUCUGCGUUUCCAUCAACGUGAUCCAAAAGGAAAGAUAGCACUUCAUACUUGUGCUAGAUAUAUUGAAUUUUGAGGUGCUCUAGUGAGAGGGUGAGAGUGGUGAAGUGAUAUUUUGUACUAUUUUGUUUAUAUAAUCAGGUUUUGAGGUUCCCCAAAAAAAAGAAAAGAGAAAGAAAAAAAAUAAAGAAAAAAAAAGAAUGAAAGAAAGAAAAAAGAAAAAAAAUCAAAAAAAGGGGAUUGUUGUUCCUUUUGUUUCCAGUAGGGCUGCUCAUUUUGUUUCUAGUGGUGUGCUGUGUUUUCCCUUUG